rnacentral:rRNA from 1 species
UGGGGAAUAUUGCACAAUGGGCGCAAGCCUGAUGCAGCCAUGCCGCGUGUGUGAAGAAGGCCUUCGGGUUGUAAAGCACUUUCAGCGGGGAGGAAGGCGUUAAGGUUAAUAACCUUGGCGAUUGACGUUACCCGCAGAAGAAGCACCGGCUAACUCCGUGCCAGCAGCCGCGGUAAUACGGAGGGUGCAAGCGUUAAUCGGAAUUACUGGGCGUAAAGCGAACGCAGGCGGUUGAUUGAGUCAGAUGUGAAAUCCCCGGGCUUAACCCGGGGAUUGCAUCUUAUACUGGUCAGCUAGAGUCGUGUAGAGGGGGGUAGAAUUCCAUGUGUAGCGGUGAAAUGCGUAGAGAUGUGGAGGAAUACCGGUGGCGAAGGCAGCCCCCUGGACAAAGACUGACGCUCAGGUGCGAAAGCGUGGGGAGCAAACAGG